CCUACGGGGAGCAGCAGUCGAGAAUCAUUCACAAUGGGGGAAACCCUGAUGGUGCGACGCCGCGUGGGGGAAUGAAGGUCUUCGGAUUGUAAACCCCUGUCAUGUGGGAGCAAAUUAAAAAGAUAGUACCACAAGAGGAAGAGACGGCUAACUCUGUGCCAGCAGCCGCGGUAAUACAGAGGUCUCAAGCGUUGUUCGGAAUCACUUGGCGUAAGGCGUGCGUAGGCUGUUUCGUAAGUCGUGUGUGAAAGGCGCGGGCUCAACCCGCGGACGGCACAUGAUACUGCGAGACUAGAGUAAUGGAGGGGGAACCGGAAUGCUCGGUGUAGCAGUGAAAUGCGUAGAUAUCGAGAGGAACACUCGUGGCGAAGGCGGGUUCCUGGACAUUAACUGACGCUGAGGCACGAAGGCCAGGGGAGCGAAAGGGAUUAGAUACCCCUGUAGUC
rnacentral:rRNA from 1 species